rnacentral:rRNA from 1 species
GAUGAACGCUAGCUACAGGCUUAACACAUGCAAGUCGAGGGGAAACGACAUCGAAAGCUUGCUUUUGGUGGGCGUCGACCGGCGCACGGGUGAGUAACGCGUAUCCAACCUGCCCACCACUUGGGGAUAACCUUGCGAAAGUAAGACUAAUACCCAAUGAUAUCCCACGAAGGCAUCCGAAUGGGAUUAAAGAUUUAUCGGUGAUGGAUGGGGAUGCGUCUGAUUAGCUUGUUGGCGGGGUAACGGCCCACCAAGGCAACGAUCAGUAGGGGUUCUGAGAGGAAGGUCCCCCCACAUUGGAACUGAGACACGGUCCAAACUCCUACGGGAGGCAGCAGUGAGGAAUAUUGGUCAAUGGGCGAGAGCCUGAACCAGCCAAGUAGCGUGCAGGACGACGGCCCUAUGGGUUGUAAACUGCUUUUAUAAGGGAUAAAGUGGGUCACGUGUGACUUUUUGCAUGUACCUUAUGAAUAAGGACCGGCUAAUUCCGUG